GAUGAAGAACGUAGCGAAAUGCGAUAACUAAUGUGAAUUGCAGAAUUCCGUGAAUCAUCGAGUCUUUGAACGCACAUUGCGCCCCCUGGUAUUCCGGGGGGCAUGCCUGUCCGAGCGUCAUUGCUGCCCAUCAAGCACGGCUUGUGUGUUGGGUCCUCGUCCCCCCCGGGGGACGUGCCCGAAAGGCAGCGGCGGCACCGCGUCCGGUCCUCGAGCGUAUUGGGCUUUGUCACCCGCUCUGCAGGCCCGGCCGGCGCUGGCCGACGCGAAAGCAACCAUUUUUUCUCCAGGUUGACCUCGGAUCAGGUAGGGAUACCCGCUGAACUUAAGCAUAUCAAUAAGCGGAGGA
rnacentral:misc_RNA from 1 species